CCGCAACGGGGUUCCGGCCCGGCCAGGGUGCGAUGCCCCCAGUGCGUCAGAGCGUGGCGGGCGCCACGACCGACGGCUCAGCCCCGUUGCGGCGGC
rnacentral:tRNA from 1 species